rnacentral:tRNA from 1 species
GCCAUCUUAGCUCAGUCGGUAGAGCAUCAGACUUUUAAUCUGAGGGUCAUGGGGUCGAGUCCCACAGAAGGAG